CAGCCGUCACCAGGUGUGUGUUAAGGGAGGACCGGACACGCGUGUGCCAGGGAGGAGGAUGCCACCACGCUCUUCGAAGAUGUGCGGAGUUGUCGUGCCUGAACGGUCACCGUAGCUGCCUUCGAGGAGGAUUUGUGCCUGCAUCUUAAUGUUCGCCAAGCCCAUUACAUCGCUGGUGCGGGACACACAACAAAACAAAUCUGAACCUCAGCGACAUAUUUGCUGGGAGAGAAGGAGGAUAAAAAGUGCAGGUCCUCUUCACAGGAUAGACCUUUUAUGUGUCAUGUCGACAAGGGUGUCUUUGAUAAGAUAUCCAAGCGGGCUGCGUGUGAGGUGAAUCAAG